UACGUAGGGUGCGAGCGUUGUCCGGAUUUAUUGGGCGUAAAGAGCUCGUAGGCGGUUUGUCGCGUCGGCCGUGAAAUCUCCACGCUUAACGUGGAGCGUGCGGUCGAUACGGGCAGACUUGAGUUCGGUAGGGGAGACUGGAAUUCCUGGUGUAGCGGUGAAAUGCGCAGAUAUCAGGAGGAACACCGGUGGCGAAGACGGGUCGCUGGGCCAUUCCUGACGCUGAGACGCGAAAGCUAGGGGAGCGAACAGG
rnacentral:rRNA from 1 species